CCUACGGGAGGCAGCAGUGAGGAAUAUUGGUCAAUGGGCGAGAGCCUGAACCAGCCAAGUCGCGUGAAGGAUGACGGCCCUACGGGUUGUAAACUUCUUUUGUCAGGGAGCAAUUGGGUCCACGCGUGGGCUUAGCGAGAGUACCUGAAGAAAAAGCAUCGGCUAACUCCGUGCCAGCAGCCGCGGUAAUACGGAGGAUGCGAGCGUUAUCCGGAUUUAUUGGGUUUAAAGGGUGCGUAGGCGGAAUAUCAAGUCAGCGGUAAAAAUUCGGGGCUCAACCCCGUCGUGCCGUUGAAACUGAUGUUCUUGAGUGGGCGAGAAGUAUGCGGAAUGCGUGGUGUAGCGGUGAAAUGCAUAGAUAUCACGCAGAACUCCGAUUGCGAAGGCAGCAUACCGGCGCCCUACUGACGCUGAGGCACGAAAGUGCGGGGAUCGAACAGGAUUAGAUACCCUAGUAGUC
rnacentral:rRNA from 1 species